AUGAACGCUGGCGGCGUGCCUAAUACAUGCAAGUCGCGCGCACGGACGAGAAGCUUGCUUUUCUGAUGUUAGCGGCGGACGGGUGAGUAACACGUGGAUAACCUACCUAUAAGACUGGGAUAACUUCGGGAAACCGGAGCUAAUACCGGAUAAUAUUUUGAACCGCAUGGUUCAAAAGUGAAAGACGGUCUUGCUGUCACUUAUAGAUGGAUCCGCGCUGCAUUAGCUAGUUGGUAAGGUAACGGCUUACCAAGGCAACGAUGCAUAGCCGACCUGAGAGGGUGAUCGGCCACACUGGAACUGAGACACGGUCCAGACUCCUACGGGAGGCAGCAGUAGGGAAUCUUCCGCAAUGGGCGAAAGCCUGACGGAGCAACGCCGCGUGAGUGAUGAAGGUCUUCGGAUCGUAAAACUCUGUUAUUAGGGAAGAACAUAUGUGUAAGUAACUGUGCACAUCUUGACGGUACCUAAUCAGAAAGCCACGGCUAACUACGUG
rnacentral:rRNA from 1 species